CCGGGCCCCAUCGGGUUUGCCAGAACCAGCUGAAAGUUCUGCAAUCUUAACUACUUCAGGACGUCAGAUCUGGUCAAGGUCCAGGCUAUAAGGUCUGGCUUUCAAAGCUGUCGGGAUGAGCCUGCUGGACCUGUCUGGGAAGCUUGUUAAACUGCACCGAUGAACUCAUCCCUUCCCCAAAUCGUGCUGAUGACCUCAUCAUCUGCAGCUGUGUGCUCUGAGCUCACCCACCCUUCAACUCCCAGGGGAUCACAUCUGGCGGGGGAGCCCUGGUACCUGGGGCGGGCACAUCUGGAGAUUCAUCUGAGGGAGAGAAAAAGAGAGAGAGAUGGUGUGGAGAGGAGAGGGAGAAGG